GACGAACGCUGGCGGCGUGCUUAACACAUGCAAGUCGAACGGAAAGGCCCUGCUUUUGUGGGGUGCUCGAGUGGCGAACGGGUGAGUAACACGUGAGUAACCUGCCCUUGACUUUGGGAUAACUUCAGGAAACUGGGGCUAAUACCGGAUAGGAGCUCCUGCUGCAUGGUGGGGGUUGGAAAGUUUCGGCGGUUGGGUAUGGACUCGCGGCUUAUCAGCUUGUUGGUGGGGUAGUGGCUUACCAAGGCUUUGACGGGUAGCCGGCCUGAGAGGGUGACCGGCCACAUUGGGACUGAGAGACGGCCCAGACGCCUACGGGAGGCAGAAGUGGGGAAUAUUGCACAAUGGGCGGAAGCCUGAUGCAGCAACGCCGCGUGCGGGAUGACGGCCUUCGGGUGGUAAACCGCUUUCGCCUGUGACGAAGCGUGAGUGACGGUAAUGGGUAAAGAAGCACCGGCUAACUACGUG
rnacentral:rRNA from 1 species